rnacentral:rRNA from 1 species
UAUUUUCCUUGUGUGCCAGCCGCCGCGGUAAUACGUAGGGAGCGAGCGUUGUCCGGAAUUACUGGGUGUAAAGGGAGCGUAGGCGGGAUGGCAAGUCAGAUGUGAAAACUAUGGGCUUAACCCAUAGACUGCAUUUGAAACUGCUGUUCUUGAGUGAGGUAGAGGUAAGCGGAAUUCCUGGUGUAGCGGUGAAAUGCGUAGAGAUCAGGAGGAACAUCGGUGGCGAAGGCGGCUUACUGGGCCUUUACUGACGCUGAGGCUCGAAAGCGUGGGGAGCAAACAGG